GACGAACGCUGGCGGCGUGCCUAACACAUGCAAGUCGAACGAGACGUUCGGGACUUUGGUCGCCCGGCUUCGUAACGCGUGGGAACCGUCACUUAUGUUUGGCCUACCUCCCCGACAGGGGUACUAAUACCAGAUCAUGUCUUCUGACCAAGGAUUUAUCGCCCUUGGUUGUGCCCUCGUUAAAUUAGGUUGUUGUUAGGGUAAAAGCAUCCCACGGCGACGAUGCAUAGCUGGUAUGAGAGACUGAUCAGCCACACUAGGAGUGAGACACGGCCGAGAAUCCUACGGGAGGCAGCAGUGGGGAAUAUUGGAAAACGGGCGAAAGCAUGAUCGAGCAAUGACGGGUGAGUGAUGAAGGCAGUAGGGUUGUAAAGCGCUUUUACCCGGGAUGAUAAUGACAGUACCGGGAGAAUAAGCUCCGGCUAACUACGUG
rnacentral:rRNA from 1 species